UGGGGAAUAUUGGACAAUGGGCGCAAGCCUGAUCCAGCCAUGCCGCGUGAGUGAUGAAGGCCCUAGGGUUGUAAAGCUCUUUUGUGCGGGAAGAUAAUGACGGUACCGCAAGAAUAAGCCCCGGCUAACUUCGUGCCAGCAGCCGCGGUAAUACGAAGGGGGCUAGCGUUGCUCGGAAUCACUGGGCGUAAAGGGUGUGUAGGCGGGUCUUUAAGUCAGGGGUGAAAUCCUGGAGCUCAACUCCAGAACUGCCUUUGAUACUGAGGAUCUUGAGUUCGGGAGAGNUGAGUGGAACUGCGAGUGUAGUGGUGAAAUUCGUAGAUAUUCGCAAGAACACCAGUGGCGAAGGCGGCUCACUGGCCCGAUACUGACGCUGAGGCACGAAAGCGUGGGGAGCAAACG
rnacentral:rRNA from 1 species